rnacentral:lncRNA from 1 species
UUUUUUUACCAUCAACCAUAAAAAGCUUUAUUCCAAGCCUGAUCACACUUUGAGUUACAAAACACGUGCCAGAAAGUAACAGUUAACACGCAAGAUCUGCCAUAUUUCUACUUGCCUCUAUUCUCAUACUGGAUUUCCCAUAUUGAGGGAUGGAGACUAAACCUCUCCCAUUUGUAACAUAAUGAAUAUUCCUAAUGGUAGGAAAUAAAGGUUUUUAUUAUUUUUAAUUCCAUUUCACAAAUCUUUUACUCUUCCCAAGCCGCCAUUUGUUAGUGCAACAAUCCAGCACAGUGCUAGUUGCUGAGGUAUACAUGGUUACAACCAAAACUUCAAUGCUUUCCCUCCCUCCUUUUUUUUUUUUUACUAAUGAAAGCCGUAUAAUUCACCAUUUUACAUUUCUAAAAAUAAUUCUAAAAAGAAUGGUUUUGUAAUAGUGACAGGCUGUACAAGGCAAAAAAAGCCUUGUCUUUUAUCACCCAUACAACUGCUGUACUUUUUUUUUUUUUUUCUUAAAAUAUAUUUUGUGCAAAAUUAAGUUCUGUGUAGGUCUGUACCAUAAUUUGGAAAAAACUGUGUAUAAAAUGUACUUACUUUUUUUAAAAACAAUCCCAACAUCAAACAACAGAGAAAGAAGAAACAGAUCAGAUGCAGCUGAAGUUUGCACAUGAGAAACUAAAUAUAGUAUGUUCUUAAAGCUCCGGUAAUACAUUCUUUCAAAAACCAGAAUGCACUUUGGUCAUUAUUAAACAUUAGUACAGAGGCAAAUAAAAUACAAAAUGCUUGUUUGUGUUGCUUUAUAUAUAAAAAUAUUUUUAUACCACAUAAGUUUAAGAUACAAUACUUCAAAUCUUCCAAGAUUCUGAAGAUUAGCAAACAUAGCGCAAUGUUCAGACUCUUGCUACCUAAUUAUUUGUCAUUUUUCAAUAUGAAGCCAUUAUUUUAGAAACAUAAAAUGUAACAAUACUCAUGCCUGGUGGUAUUAAUCAUCCCAGAAUAAUUUGUAGAUGGAAAGUUUGUUCCAAAUGACUUAAUUCUACACAGGUGAACAUCUAUUUUUGUCACACUGUAGAACCAUGAGUCAAUAUGACUCGUCCAUGUGGGAGGCAGAGAUAGAAGUCAUAGGGAGAGGUGGGAAAAUCCAAGGCUGGGAAACCCCAGCCAGAAAAGCAUUAGGGAAUGACGCCUGCUGGGGAGCAAUGGGAAGGAAGGACGCUAUUUGAAGACUCAAAUCUACUGAAUACCAGGCUUUGUGAGCUUUGCUGCUUACCAGAGGAACUUGUUUUCUGUGUUUAACUGUUCUUAAACUUCAAUGUGGUAUGAAUGGCAUAUACUAUAGUGUACAAGAGGAGAGCACCUAUCUAUCUUAUGCUCAGUCACCCAUAGCAUUCCUUUCACCAGUAAAUCUUUCGCUUGUUUAAAUAUUCAACUUCAACAUAUAAUAUAUACUGCUCCAUAGUUCACCAUAAUAUAUUCCAAUUAAUAUACAUUUAUAUGUAUAUAUAUAAAGUUUCUCAUUAAAAGUAACAAUAAAAAGUGCACAUAUUGAGCAUGCACAGUCAGAGCUGCGCAGAAC